rnacentral:rRNA from 1 species
GACGAACGCUGGCGGCAGGCUUAACACAUGCAAGUCGAUCGCCCCGCAAGGGGAGUGGCAGACGGGUGAGUAACGCGUGGGAAUCUACCCAGUUCUACGGAACAACAGUUGGAAACGACUGCUAAUACCGUAUACGCCCUAAGGGGGAAAGAUUUAUCGGAAUUGGAUGAGCCCGCGUUGGAUUAGCUAGUUGGUGGGGUAAUGGCCUACCAAGGCGACGAUCCAUAGCUGGUCUGAGAGGAUGAUCAGCCACACUGGGACUGAGACACGGCCCAGACUCCUACGGGAGGCAGCAGUGGGGAAUAUUGGACAAUGGGCGCAAGCCUGAUCCAGCCAUGCCGCGUGAGUGAUGAAGGCCUUAGGGUUGUAAAGCUCUUUCAGUAGGGAAGAUAAUGACGGUACCUACAGAAGAAGCCCCGGCUAACUUCGUGCCAGCCGCCGCGGUAACAC